rnacentral:rRNA from 1 species
GAUGAACGCUGGCGGAAUGCUUUACACAUGCAAGUCGAACGGUAGAGGGGCAACCCUUGAGAGUGGCGAACGGGUGAGUAAUGUAUCGGAACAUGCCCAGUCGUGGGGGAUAACGUAGCGAAAGUUACGCUAAUACCGCAUACGAUCUAUGGAUGAAAGCGGGGGAUCGCAAGACCUCGCGCGAUUGGAGUUGCCGAUAUCAGAUUAGGUAGUUGGUGGGGUAAAGGCCUACCAAGCCGACGAUCUGUAGCUGGUCUGAGAGGACGACCAGCCACACUGGGACUGAGACACGGCCCAGGCUCCUACGGGAGGCAGCAGUGGGGAAUUUUGGACAAUGGGCGCAAGCCUGAUCCAGCCAUUCCGCGUGCAGGAAGAAGGCCUUCGGGUUGUAAACUGCUUUUGUACGGAACGAAACGCGCUGAGCUAAUACCUCGGCGUAAUGACGGUACCGUAAGAAUAAGCACCGGCUAACUACGUGCCAGCAGCCGCGGUAA